rnacentral:rRNA from 1 species
AACGAACGCUGGCGGUAUGCUUAACACAUGCAAGUCGAACGAACGAACCUAGCUUGCUAGAGUGGAUUAGUGGCGCACGGGUGAGUAAUGCAUAGGAAUCUGCCUUGUAGUCUAGGAUAGCCACUGGAAACGGUGAUUAAUACUGGAUAUUCCGGAGACGGGAAAGUUUUUCGCUACAAGAUGAGCCUAUGUUCUAUCAGCUUGUUGGUAAGGUAAUGGCUUACCAAGGCUAUGACGGAUAACUGGUCUGAGAGGAUGAUCAGUCACACUGGAACUGAGACACGGUCCAG